GAGACGGCAGCCACAGGGAACCUUCAGGGAGAGACCCAUGCUGACAUCCAGCCAGGCUGAGGGCAGAACCCAGGGAGCCCAGCGGAACCUCUGCAGCAGAGCCCCGCCAGGGGGCCCAGACCUCACCAUGCUCCAGCCCGCACUUCUCCUGGGUGUCGUCUCUGAUCUUCGCGAUGUCCUCUGCUGGCUUCUACGAGGUCGGCACCGACCCCACAGACAGCUCGAUGGGCUUCAUUGGGCGACUCAGAGUUGAGCACGGCCCUGGUCAGCUGCUGCCAAAGGGAAUCAUGGCCAGGUGUGACAGCACACAUGUGUCAUCCCGGGACUCAGGAGGCUGAGACAGCAG
rnacentral:lncRNA from 1 species